UGCCACUGGUUUUAUCAUCAUUUCUUCCCUAUCUUUUUUUUUUUUUUUUUCUUGUUGUCUGCCCCAGU
rnacentral:ribozyme from 14 species